CCCCUCUGAAAAACAGCACGCAAGAGAACGUCAAGGUCUUGCCUCUCCUCCGCCGCCCGCCCGUGUGGGCGUCAACAGCGUCACGCUGAUCUAAAAACUGUUCGAGGUGUGAUGGGCUGCCUGUUCGGGAAGGGCUAACGUGUACGGAGAGAGACCUCAGAGGCCGACUGGCGUGGAGGGCUCUAAACGACAGCAUGAAGAAAAGGAAAGAAAAAACAACAAGUAAGCAUACAGCGACAGUAGAAGAAACAUGAGUAAAAAGCAAAUUGAUGAUAUGCAGGAAAAGUCAACGGAAAUAAUUUCCACUGCCCCAAAUACAUGAAUCACGUGAUAUAAUUUUAUAUAUAUAUAUAUACACACACCCAUAUAUAUUAGCACUUUAGUAAAAAUAUUGAAAUGUUAAUCAGAAAA